AGGAUCUGCAGUGGCUACGAUAACCAAGUGCUACAAAAAUGCUGUGACAAGGAAUCUGAACAAUAGAGAUUUGACGGAAACAAAGCACUUUCGACGAAGGUCCUGCUGCUUGUCUUUAGCUCGGUACCAAUUAGAGCUUCACUGGAGGUGAAAAGGGCAGACAGGGUUGCUGAGUGGCUAGUUGGAGAGUCCCUGAGAGAUUACCCAAGAAACUCAGUUGCGGCACAUGGUGGAGCAGCCUCUCAGAAAAUGGAGUUCUAAAUAUAGUAACAAUUUAGUUAUAGUUACUUCCACUUUCAGAGAUGUGAUCCCUUACUGUGUA
rnacentral:lncRNA from 1 species